GCUGUGGAGAUGAUGAGACCAACAUUUAAUUGAACUCAAUGGAAUUGAAUUGAAUCUUAUCAGCUGGCACUAUGAAUUAGCUUUUGGUCUUUGAUUUUGCCAUUCACAUUGCAUCACCCAAGACACAAUGUCAAAUCUGCAACAUUAAAGCACGGUCUUUGGAAGAUGGGUGCCAGGAUUUUGAACUUCAGCAUCUUGAGAAUCUGCAGAAGAGUAAGGUGCUCAAUUUUCU
rnacentral:lncRNA from 1 species